CGUCCUCUGCCGUGUACGACGGCAUGCGCAAACAUUCGCCUUGUCCCUUAAUGACGACCACGGGGGCGCAGCGGAAACCCGGCGUGCAAGUCCGCCUUGUUGCGGAAAGCCCGAAGGCUUCCAAGUGCUCCCACUUGAACCCACGGUUCAAGGUCGUUUUCGCAGGCAUCGCCAUGGCGGAGGACGU
rnacentral:other from 1 species